rnacentral:rRNA from 1 species
CCUACGGGAGGCAGCAGUGAGGAAUAUUGGUCAAUGGCCGUAAGGCUGAACCAGCCAAGUCGCGUGAAGGAAGAAGGAUCUAUGGUUUGUAAACUUCUUUUAUAGGGGAAUAAAGGUAUCCACGUGUGGAUAUUUGCAUGUACCCUAUGAAUAAGCAUCGGCUAACUCCGUGCCAGCAGCCGCGGUAAUACGGAGGAUGCGAGCGUUAUCCGGAUUUAUUGGGUUUAAAGGGUGCGCAGGCGGAUUUUUAAGUCAGCGGUCAAAUCGUGGGGCUCAACCCCAUCCAGCCGUUGAAACUGGGGAUCUAGAGUGUGCGAGAGGUAUGCGGAAUGCGUGGUGUAGCGGUGAAAUGCAUAGAUAUCUGGAGGAACAUCAGUGGCGAAGGCGACUAUCUGGCACAUAACUGACGCUGAGGAGCGAAAGCGUGGGUAGCAAACAGGAUUAGAUACCCCUGUAGUC